ACGAAAACAUUAUGUUGUUUCAGAAAACGGCAAUAUCACAGAGAGUGAGUUUACAUUACAAUGGCAUCGGCACUACCUCGACGUUCGCGACUUUGUCGGCUACCUCUUCCAAAAUUUCGACAUGAACAACGACAUGCGUCUGACCGACAGUGACCUCGUCGCUUGGUCAAAAAAUCUCGACACUGACGGAAAUGGGGAAAUCUCGAUCGCAGAGUUCAGGACCUACAUGAUGAACCUCUACACCAACUGUGUUACAGCUCACGCCAACUGAUGUCCGCUGUGAAAUAAAACAUCGUGAUCGACAUUC